rnacentral:rRNA from 1 species
GAUGAACGCUGGCGGCGUGCCUAAUACAUGCAAGUCGAGCGGCAGCACGGUCUUCGGACUGGUGGCGAGCGGCGGACGGCUGAGUAACGCGUAGGAACAUGCCCUAAAGUGAGGAAUAACUGCCCGAAAGGGUGGCUAAUGCCGCAUGUGCUCUUCGGAGUAAAGCUUUAUGCGCUUUAGGAGUGGCCUGCGUCCGAUUAGCUAGUUGGUGAGGUAAUUGCUCACCAAGGCGACGAUCGGUAGCUGGUCUGAGAGGAUGAUCAGCCAGACUGGAACUGAGAACGGUCCAGACUCCUACGGGAGGCAGCAGUAGGGAAUUUUCCACAAUGGGCGAGAGCCUGAUGGAGCAACGCCGCGUGCAGGAUGAAUGCCUUCGGGUUGUAAACUGCUUUUAUGUGCGAAGAAUUUGACUGUAACACAUGAAUAAGGAUCGGCUAACUACGUGCCAGCAGCCGCCGUAA